rnacentral:rRNA from 1 species
CCCCUAGAUGUUCUGGGCCGCACGCGAGCUACACUGAACAGUUCAACAAGUCUUAACCUUGGCCGAUAGGUCUGGGUAAUCUUUGAACGCUGUUCGUGAUUGGGAUAGACCUUUGCAAUUAUGGGUCUUCAACGAGGAAUUCCUAGUAAACGCAAGUCAUCAGCUUGCAUUGAUUACGUCCCUGCCCUUUGUACACACCGCCCGUCGCACCUACCGAUUGAAUGGUCCGGUGAAAUCUCGGGACGGCGGCUUGGUCGCUUGCGUCCGACUGCUGAAACUUGAUUAAACCAUAUCAUUUAGAGGAAGGUGAAGUCGUAACA